rnacentral:rRNA from 1 species
CUCGUAGGCGGUUCGUCGCGUCCGGCGUGAAAGUCCAUCGCUUAACGGUGGAUCCGCGCCGGGUACGGGCGGGCUUGAGUGCGGUAGGGGAGACUGGAAUUCCCGGUGUAACGGUGGAAUGUGUAGAUAUCGGGAAGAACACCAAUGGCGAAGGCAGGUCUCUGGGCCGUUACUGACGCUGAGGAGCGAAAGCGUGGGGAGCGAACA